GCUACCUUCAGCAGUGCAUAUACUAAAAUUGGAAUGAUACAGAGGAGAUUAGGAUAACCCCUAUGCAAGGAUGGCACACAGAUUCAUGAAACCUUCCAUCAAAGA